rnacentral:lncRNA from 1 species
CAUAGUAUAAAAUAAUAUAGUUGCUGUAGUAUAAUAACCAACAAAAUAGACUGUACUAAAUAAUUCAAGUAAUAUAACAAUAUUUACAAGUACCGUUUUUGAAGGCCCCUUUUUUGUUUUAUUCUUAGAACUUCAUAGUUCUUUUGUUUUUUCUUUUUCUUUUUCUUUGCCCCUUUUUUGUUGUCUUCAUAGUUCUUUUGGCUUCAUAAGUUUCUUUUAACUGAGUUAAUAGUGUUGUUAGGUCAAACUAAGUUUGGCUUCAUAAGAUUCAUAGUAGAGUGUAGAACUGGGUAUAAUUUUGGGUUAGACAAGUCAAACGUCUUAUCAAGUAAUUGAUCUGCUUACUGAUUUGGUAAUUGCAACAUUGCUAAAUAGUUCAAUUUGUCCUUUUUAUUUUGUUGAAUUUAUUGUAUGUCAUAUUACUUGAUUUAAUUAUUUUCUCAGAUCUUCAAGGUGAAAAUUUCAGCUUCAAAGAACAAAGCUAAUCAUCCAGCAAUUCAAUGAAGAAACCAAGACACAGUGGCUCAUAAAUUGUAGUUGGUGAUUGAUCCAGCCAUUCGGGUGCUCGCCAGUCCUAGAUGAGAAAAUUUUCAACGCGGCGAAUAAAUUGCUGUUGAUCUGCUUUAUAUAUUUUGACGUUUGUGAUUUGUGAAUACAUGGUCUGAUUCCAGUGUUUACAACUUUGAAAUUCAAUUAAAAGUUGAGCUGUGAAAGAGUGUGUUGUAUAACUUGAGAAGCAAAUGAAACAAACAGGAAAUGUGUUUUUUAUUUUUUUAAUCUAUCUAUGUAACAAUUUAUAGCUGGCAAAGUAAUAGAGUUGUAUACUUGUAUUUAAUUAUUUAUUAUUAUUAUUUUGUAUCCAUGGUGUUUUGUCAUUUCGAA